AUCACUUCACUUGUAGCGUCCGGUAUUACUGCCACUUCUGACAAAGGCUGAAGACAACUGUGUUAUCUUUAUCCCUCUUUGCGUCCGUUCCGUGCGCAUUAGUUUCCCAUACACCUAUUGUACACUAUUCAGCUUUGCGCACGCACAGCUUUCAUUUGUGAGUGUGUUCCACUGCCUUAAAGGUCUUUGUUCGCACAGUGAAGGCAAGAGGUGCGGACCUUAUACAACCGUCGCGAUUUGUUCUGAUGCCAGUACUUUUCCUUCUUUUUCUUUUGACGAAUAAAUAAAUACUCGUGUCAUAGAAUCGUUGGCGUCGAGCACCGUUUUUCAUCAUGACGAUGUUUGAGCAUCAUACUCGACUAUCACCUACAGCUUCUGGUGCGCCGCGGUAAUGGCAAGUGCAGUGGAGCGAAGGCCCGGGGACUUUUCCUUACUUUAACCGCAAACCUGUGCGCUCUGAGUGAAAUGGUAGGUUGUGCUUCGUGCAAUAACGGAAGCGGCAAGGCCAUCCUACACUCAUGGUAGUAACCAUCCACCCUACUUCCGCUCACCUUUCGGAGGCUUUUAUAUUUGACAAGAAAAGAAAUGGAAUCUUCAUGGAAGUCGAGAAGUGUACCUGCUCUGUCUCAAGGUAUCAAUCAGACAUCGAAGGUGUUACUUCGUAUGUACAGAUCUAACCCUAUAUGAUAUAAGGUCUGGUAUUUCGUAGACACAAACGAAUAAUUAUCAUUGCCAUAGCCGUCAACAUCUACAAGGCUAGCAGUAAUUGUUGAGAAUAGUUGCGGUACUGUCACAAGUGCGGAUAGCCACGUAGGUCGCAACUUAAACAGCAGGAAAGUCCCUUAAGAAAAAAACUUUGACAAAGUCUGAGACAAGGCUUAAAAGGAAAGUCGGGCGGUCUUCAAGGGACAGAACUGGUUUUCAAGGUACACCCAAACAAAAUUUACCUCUAUGCAUCGAAUCCAAAAAGCUACGUUUUGUGCUAUUACAGCAAGUGUGAACGUUACUUCAUGAACAGAUCUAUGGCGGCCUAGUUUUAUCCGUAUCUGCUCGAAACGUAGCCAUAUAUAAUUUCUUGUCCAGCGGAACCUUAGAGCUAAUGAGUAUGUACGCGUAAAGUCAACGCCAAAGUGGAUUAUGUUACGUUUCGUGAAUAACGCUGUUGCCGUCUGUUGGGCCUGUUGUGACGACAUCGGAAUUAAUCUUACGUCUUCUGAUUGCUGCCAACAGUCAAAAUUGAUUUUACUAGAAAUUGAGAUUCGAACCGAGGGAAGAGACUUCCACAAUGUAUUAGCUAUAAUACAAAAAAAGUGAAAUUCCAGUAUAUCGUAUGUUCCUAGGAGAGACGAUUUACCGAACCUUCAAAAAGUGUGAGGAUUCUGCGAUAGCUGUUUGGCGUCCUUUCUCUACUCCAUCAGUGUAUACCGUGGUAAACGUGGGUUGCAGAAGGUCCGCUUGAACCUGUGAGUGUGAUGGAUCCCUUAUGGCAGUCUGGCGGCUGUGACAGGGCACGAUGGAAGGCCUAACAACGAUUCGUUCUGGACUCUAGCUAUAGCCUACCUUUCCCCGUGGUGGCGGAACUGAUUACCGCAGUCAAUUUAGCCAACUGCUCGAAGAAACGCGUACUAUCGGACGCUUGAAUUUAUUGUUAUAUGGCACGUAGCAACGCUGCACGAUCAGACACAAGUAGGAUGUCUAUGUAGUCUUGCUGAACUGUACUCAAGCAUGUUCGA